UUGCCAUAUGUUUCUUCGUCGACAAACUUCCUCAGAAACAACCAAAUGGUUUAAACAUGGGACUUCAACCGAUGAACAACGUUGUCACUGCAACAGGAGGAGGAGUUUUUUCAUCUUAAAUGAAUAAAAGCACCAAUGUUUUGAAAACAAAAAAUUUCCAAACCAGAGACAAUGGAGAAUCGAUGAAAACCAAAAAAAAAAAAAAACCCAAAAAUUUUCUUGAUUCAUUUUAUAAAUUUGAAAGAUUUGUCAGAGAGAUUCCUGAGAUUCAGUGUUUAUUA